rnacentral:rRNA from 1 species
CAGUCGCCGCGGAAUACGUAGGGUGCAAGCGUUAAUCGGAAUUACUGGGCGUAAAGCGUGCGCAGGCGGUUAUAUAAGACAGAUGUGAAAUCCCCGGGCUCAACCUGGGAACUGCAUUUGUGACUGUAUAGCUAGAGUACGGCAGAGGGGGAUGGAAUUCCGCGUGUAGCAGUGAAAUGCGUAGAUAUGCGGAGGAACACCGAUGGCGAAGGCAAUCCCCUGGGCCUGUACUGACGCUCAUGCACGAAAGCGUGGGGAGCAAACAGGAUUAGAUACCCCAGUAGUCCCUGUCUCUUAUACA